CCAAUAGCGUAUAUUAAAGUUGUUGCAGUUAAAAAGCUCGUAGUUGAAUUUCGGGGUUAGUAGGUUGGUCAUGCCUCUGGUAUGUACUGGUCUCACUGAUUCCUCCUUCCUGAUGAGCCGUAAUGCCAUUAAUUUGGUGUUGCGGGGAAUUUGGACUGUUACUUUGAAAAAAUUAGAGUGUUUAAAGCAAGCUAACGCUUGAAUACAUUAGCAUGGAAUAAUGAAAUAGGACGUUCGAUCCUAUUUUGUUGGUUUCUAGGAUUGACGUAAUGAUUAAUAGGGAUAGUUGGGGGCAUUAGUAUUCAAUUGUCAGAGGUGAAAUUCUUGGAUUUAUUGAAGACUAACUACUGCGAAAGCAUUUGCCAAGGAUGUUUUCAUUAAUCAAGAACGAAAGUUAGGGGAUCGAAGACGAUCAGAUACCGUCGUAGUCUUAACCAUAAACUAUGCCGACUAGGGAUCGGAUGAUGUUAAUUUUUUAAUGACUCAUUCGGCACCUUACG
rnacentral:rRNA from 2 species